UCCACUCUACUCUUGUUGUUCUCUAUAACUCCAAACCCAGCAUCAAGUAUCUGAACACUGGAUUUUUUUCCAAAGGUACUUGAAAUUGAGAAAUUGUAUGAAGAAAAUACCCUCAACAAUAAAAAGUUCUUAGAGAAUGCCCACUUGAUUCUACUCCAUCAGAGUUCACAUUAUAAAAAUUGUGUUCAAAAUUUGCCUUUUGCUGGAAAAGCAUCAAAUGUGCUUGAACUCAAAACAAGAAAGCUUCUAGCAGUUGGAUAAUGAAACCUCAAAACUAGUGAUAAAUCUUCACCAAAUCUACGAA
rnacentral:lncRNA from 1 species